UAGUGAGAGGUCGUUUCUGCGCUAGUAUGCUCAGGGUAUAUGAACAGUUUCAAGACAGGGAAGGUCCAGAUAUAACAAAGUUUACUAAUUCAUUGCCAUUCUUCCAUUCUAUUUUGAAUUAAGCUAGAGCUUGAAGAUUUAUGAAUAAUAAUCUAUUUCGAUUAAGUAGCGCAUUUUUUAGUCCUAUUCAGAAAUUUGAGUGUUAUAUGAUGAAUAUAGAUUUCAGCAUUGAGUUCUUGUUUCUUUUCUUAUAUACCUUUCGAGUGUAUUUAUUUACGUGUUUUGCAACGUUUUUCUUUAUGGAUAAAAUCUUGUUUUCUGGUCAUUUUUUUUGUAAGUUGUAAUCCGGGUCAAAGUGCUGUUUAUAAUUUCUUACUUUGCACAAGAACUUUGUAUCAUCGCUAAAUUGUAAGUCAUAACUAUUACUUUCAAAUUACAGACAUAAAGAGAAGACAUAUCUACCGUCAAAUGCUAUUGGCCUGAUUGAUGGUGGAGUGACGACUGAUUGAUGUAGGUAGAAAGGGCUUUGCGAAGAAGGAAGAUAUUGUUACUGCUAGUGGACGAGUGACGAUUGGUCGAUGUAAAUGGAAAGGUCUUUGUGAAGGUAGAAGAUAUUGUUACUGCUGGUGGCCGAGUGGCAAUUGAUCGAUGUAAAUGGACAGCAGGCGUACGAAUGCGAAAUGAGAUUUUGAAGGAACAAGAUAGCAAUGCUCAAAUAUAUGGAGACGAAGCCGGAAUGAAAUAUUUCACCCGUAUAUUCUCCAAAAAUCAUAUCCUAGUCUCGGGAUAGCUGCAGUUGAUUCUGCCCAGAACAGCGGAUCGAGGCGAAAUGAAUCUUACAAAUCGGGAUAAAAGGAGUACGUUCUGGACGGAGGAAAAAGAAAAUAAAUAUUCAUCUCGAAUCAAGCAGACGUAGGAUGGCAGUUUCAAAAUUGUACAUUCUGUAUUUUAAUUUUUAAUUGAAUUGAGCAAACCGGUACCCAUAGCCCACGUUGGUCAUCUGCCGUGGGGUGAAUAUCUGGAUCGGCGAAGCAAGCGCUGACCUAAAACCCGGUUACAGAGCGAUAGACUGCCAUUUAAAAAUACGAGUAACACUCUUUAAUUGGGGCCCGCCUGAUUUGGUGUAAUUAUAUUAGUGUUAAUUGACUACUAAUAGGACUGAAAAAUGGCAUUUGGAACUUUGUGCUUGUGCUAAGUAUAUCCAAAUCUCACUUACUCUUUUUAUGCUCUGUCACAAUUUUCGUUCUGUGCCGGUAUCUUAGCAGAUUGUGUUAUUUUAACAUCAUUUAGACAGUUUGAUUCCUUUUUUUAUUUUGAAUUAAUGCGUA